rnacentral:rRNA from 1 species
GGGGGGGGGGGGGGGGGGGGGGGGUACGUGCAAGGCGGGCGGACGGGCGAGAGGCGUGCUUCUCUGAUGUUAGCGGCGGGCGGGUGAGUAACACGUGGAUAACCUACCUAUAAGACUGGGAUAACUUCGGGAAACCGGAGCUAAUACCGGAUGAUCUUUUGAACCGCAUGGCUCAAAAGUGAAAGACGGUCUUCCUGUCACUUACAGAUUGAUCCGCGCUGCAUUAGCUAGUUGGUAAGGUAACGGCUUACCCAGGCAACGAUGCAUAGCCGACCUGAGAGGGUGAUCGGCCACACUGGAGCUGAGACACGGUCCAGACUCCUACGGGAGGCAGCAGUAGGGAAUCUUCCGCAAUGGGCGAGAGCCUGACGGAGCAACGCCGCGUGAGUGAUGAAGGUCUUCGGAUCGUAAAACUCUGUUAUUAGGGAAGAACAUAUGUGUAAGUAACUGUGCACAUCUUGACGGUACCUAAUCAGAAAGCCACGGCUAACUACGUG